rnacentral:lncRNA from 1 species
UUAAAAACUAAUGUUCAGGACCGGGGCUGUAGCUCAGUGGCAGACCACUUGCCUAGCAUUCGAGAGGCACUGGGUUCAAUCUUCAGAACCACAUAAAAAUAAACAAAAAAAUAAAUAAAGGCAUUCUGUCCAUCUACAACUACAAAAAAAUUAAAAAAAAACAACUAAUGUUCAAAUCAUGACAUGUGGCCACCAUAGUAGGAUAAGUAUCCACUGGGUAAUGACAAGAAAAUAAUUAAAAAGGAAGAGCCUUUAAAUAUCAUUUUAACAUAAAAUAAAUCCUUUUUUAAGGAAGCAAAUUACUGAAUCAUUUUAUUCUGCUUAAAGGAAAAACUGAUUAGACACAGCAUUUAAUUUACUUGAUAUUGUAUAUGUAUCACUGAAAUGGGACUUAAUAAAUGCUAUCAAGGGUGAGUUCUAUAAACAUAACAGUUGUCUGUUUAUAUUUGUAGUAGCUUUUAUUUUUCAAAACGAAGAGAUUUCUAUUUAUAGUGCUAGCAAUUUUUUUUGCCAAUGGAGUUAAUAAGAUAAAGAAAAUGACUUUAGAUACUUGCCAAAUAAUGUAACCAACUCAUUUUUUUAGCAGCACAGUUAAUUCCUACGUUUAAUUUUAAUACUUUAUUUAUAUUAGAGCAAAGUGCUUAGGAUUAAAUCAGUGUUUCCACUUACACAGUUCUAAAAUAUAUUAUAAUUAACAAUCAAAUAAUGGAUACAGAUAUGCUAUAACUUUGGAGAUAAUUUCAGUGAUUUGUAUAAUUAAAAUCAUUUAAAUUUCCAUUCAAUCAAGUAAUAAAUUAUUAAUCAACUAUGAAGUUUUACAUGUACCCAGAAAUUUAAAUUACAUAAGACAUCUAUUUAAUAAAUGCAUCAUCUCGAAAAGGCAGCUAUCGAAAAUAAACUCAUCAACUUAAGUAAGAUGAACAGAAGCUGGAGAAAGUCCAAAUUACUAAAUGAUUGGAAAAUGGCUUAACAAAGGAAGCCUAAAAUAAUGUGGGUUAUUAAAGAACAGAAAGCUGGGGUAAAAUUUAGUAAUAUUUUUUAUUCAGUAGUUGAACUAAUAGGAUGAGCACAGAGACCUUCAGUAAUCUCUGUCCAUUGAGAAACAGUCUAAAAAGAUAAAGUCAAGUAGUGCCCUGAAAUGACUGUUUAGGUACCUAGAAAAAUUCCCUUUCCAAUUUAAAGACUUUAGAGACAAAUACCAAAAUAGCUAUAAAAUUCUUAUCUCUGAAAAUAUUUAGCCACAGUAGAAAUUACUUCUUAAAACAUAUGUAGUGAAUAUUAUGUGCUGUAUGCCAUGUCUACACAUAUACCCUUCACCACUCCAAUGAACAAAGUGCAGCUUCUCACUACAGGGGAAAUUUAUCAGAACUUAAGGACCCUCUUGCCUACCUGAACAACAAUCAGCAAAGCCAAGAAAGUACCAAUCCCAUGGAUAUCCCUCUGCCAACGACUGGCAACAGUCAGUAUAUAAGUACCCUGAGCUUCCUCACAACUCAAGCAGAAUAACUUUGAGAUGUGCUGUGACAAUGGCUCUCAGAUUUCUCCAUUGUGAUUCAUCAUCAGUUAUCCACAGUUGUAACUUGUAUAAUAAUAAAAUUCAUAUUGAAUAAAGCCCCUC